rnacentral:rRNA from 1 species
UACGGAGGAGGCAAGCGUUAUCCGGAAUUAUUGGGCGUAAAGCGUCCGUAGGUGGUUUAGUAAGUCUGCUGUUAAAGCGCGGGGCUUAACUCCGUAUCGGCAGUGGAAACUACUAGACUAGAGUGUGGUAGGGGUAGAGGGAAUUCCCAGUGUAGCGGUGAAAUGCGUAGAUAUUGGGAAGAACACCGGUGGCGAAGGCGCUCUACUGGGCCAUAACUGACACUGAUGGACGAAAGCUAGGGGAGCAAACAGG